AAAACUACCAAACGAUAGACGAAUAAGUUCUGAUAAGUGAUAUAAUA
rnacentral:guide_RNA from 1 species